rnacentral:rRNA from 1 species
UCCUGGCUCAGAGUGAACGCUGGCGGCAGGCCUAAUACAUGCAAGUCGAACGGCAGCACAGUGGAGCUUGCUCCAUGGGUGGCGAGUGGCGGACGGGUGAGGAAUACAUGGGAAUCUGCCCAGUCGUGGGGGAUAACGUAGGGAAACUUACGCUAAUACCGCAUGCGCCCUUCGGGGGAAAGCCGGGGACCGUAAGGCCUGGCGCGAUUGGAUGAGCCCAUGUCGGAUUAGCUAGUUGGCGGGGUAACGGCCCACCAAGGCGACGAUCCGUAGCUGGUCUGAGAGGAUGAUCAGCCACACUGGAACUGAGACACGGUCCAGACUCCUACGGGAGGCAGCAGUAGGGAAUAUUGGACAAUGGGCGCAAGCCUGAUCCAGCCAUGCCGCGUGAGUGAAGAAGGCCCUCGGGUUGUAAAGCUCUUUUGUCCGGAAAGAAAAGCACUGGGUUAAUACCCCGGUGUCCUGACGGUACCGGAAGAAUAAGCACCGGCUAACUUCGUG